GCCUGUGUAGCUCAGUCUGGUAGAGCAUCCGCUUCACACGCGGAAGGCCCGGGGAUCAAGGCCCCGCGCAGGCACCA
rnacentral:tRNA from 5 species